UAUUUAUUUAUUUAUUCUUUUGGACAGAGUUUAGCUAGCUGUUUCCCUUUGAUCACUUUUUUUGUGCUAAUCUAAGAUAAUCUUUUGCUGGCUUUAACAUUAUGUUUACCAUCCACUCGCAAAACUGGUAUCAGUUUUCUGAUAUUGCAUUAUAAUUUCCCAGAAGUCAAGCUCACAUUAUUUACCCAACUGAUUAUUUGGAUUUGCCCCUGAGGUGUAAUUAAAUUUGCACCAUUAUGCUUUCAUUUUAGAGCAACUCUUAAUUGGAAUGCUUGUGUAAGUAUAAACACAAUUUGCCGUGCUCCAUAUAAGGCUGCUGUGCUUCAGUAACUAUAACAAUUCACAACAUAUUAAAACUGUAAUGGGUGUGUAUUGGGUUCAUUUUUCUAAAACUGGCUCCAGAUUUGUAGUAGCAGCUUUAAUUGCCCACAUAUCAGCUGCUUCAUUCUCUUGCUGUGUCUUUCUGAUGUGCGUUACCAUGGUUUUAUGAUCAAAGUCCUGAAAUGUAGCAGCACCCUGACAUUCUGCCUUCCUGAGGCACAUGAAUGAACACCCUCACAACUAGAUACUGUGAGCAAGCGUAUACUGCAUAGAUAAAACAGUCACACACUGACACACACUGAAAAUGAGCAUGUGGCGAUGAUAAGAUGCACAGAAAUGCAGAGAUUACGCUACACACCCGCUGCUGCAGAUCAGUUCUGCUCCACUGCAGCUUUCACAUACAGGCUGUAUAUUAUUGGCCACACCUCCGAACAUGUCAAGGAAGGCUGCCACACUCACACAUACACAUAUAUACACACACACACACACACACACACACACACACACACACACACACACACACCUAAUGGUUAACACAUUAAUCAACGUGAUAGGCUAACUGGAAGUUACGCCCUGAUGCACCUGUAACUCUCCCUGCCAUUUUCCAAGAGCCAUAAAUCACUUCACAACAACCAGAUUAAUGAAAUUGAAUUCCUUCAGCGUCCCCGUGUGUGAUUGUGUGUAGUCUACCUGUGUGUGUCUGUGUAUGUGAUUUAGUCAUCAGUGUAGUAUUGUCUGGCUAAAUGUGGAGCACCCGCCUUGCCAUGCUAAUGGAUAGGCUCCUCUAUGAUGUACAAAAGAGCCGUAUAUCCAUUUCCUGCUGAUGGUAAAUAUAUGACUCCAAACUACAUUAAGUGACAUCAUGGGGGCCUAGGGUAUGUGCGCAAUCAGGCAUACGAUGUGUGUGUGUGUGUGUGUGUGUCUGAGAAUGUAGUAUCAAGUGUCUCUUCAUGUGAUCUACUGUAACACUUGUGUUUUGAUUUAAGUCUGCAGACGACCAUUUGUUCACAUUGUAACAUUACUUCCAUACUUAAGACAUGACAUUUGUGGACAGAAGGCUAAUAGUGCAGAGGUCAAGGUGGUGGAGGACCAAGUUUCAAUUUGGGGAAAACCGAAUUAAGAGAACUUCAAGCAAAUUUAGCAGUUUAAGAGGCAAAGACACACAUCCAUCUGCCAAAAGAUACAGAAGUAUCCACUGCCAUAGCAGACUACCAAGCAACUUCAUUCUUCAGGCUGUGAGAUUCCCGGACUCAUCCUCAUCUUUACCGACUUGCAUUUUGUUGUACAAGUGACAAAUAAGUGAAGCUGGAAUCCAGUGAUUGUGAUCCAUUAACACGUUUGACAUAUUAAAUGUUUUAAAUUUGUCAUGA